GGUCUCAGGCGGGCCGACUCAAGACCGCUCGGUAGCGUGCGAGCAAAGUAGGAAAGUAGCAGGGCGUCUCUGCGGCGUUUCCCUGGAUUGCUCACAACUCUGGGUGUGGCGGCCUCAGGGCAGGACGCGGUCUUCGAGUUCUAAAACUUCGCUGGCGCCUUCUCAGCGCUUUCCGAGAAAAUUGGCGCAAACCCCGCGGAGAAUCAUCUAGAAAGAAUCUAGCCAGCUGGUAACCAUGAGCGAAUGGAUGAAGAAAAGCCCCUUAGAAUGGGAAGAUUACGUUUAUAAAGAAGUGAGAGUGAUAGCCAGUGAGAAGGAGUAUAAAGGAUGGCUUCUAACUACAGACCCAGUCUCCGCCAACAUUGUCCUCGUGAACUUCCUUGAAGAUGGCAGAUUGUCUGUGACUGGAAUUAUGGGACAUUCUGUGCAGACUGUGGAAACUGUAAGUGCAGGGGACCACCGAGUAAGAGAGAAGCUGAUGGAUUUGUUCACAUCUGGAGAUUGUAAAGGAUACAGCCCGGAGGAUCUGGAAAAGAAGAAGACUAGCCUAAAGAAAUGGCUUGAGAAGAACCACAUCCCUGUCACUGAACAGGGAGAAGCACAAAGGACUCUCUGUGUGGCUGGGGUUCUGACUAUAGAUCCACCAUAUGCUCCAGAAAACUGCAGCAGCUCUAAUGAGAUCAUUCUGUCCCGAAUUCAGGAUCUUAUUCAAGGACAUCUUUCAGCUUCCCAGUGAGAGGCCAAUCACUGUGAACAUGAUGACUUCACUGGUUUCGUAUUAAAUUCUUCAAAUAGCUCUUCAUAACCCAAGCCUCUAAAUAGAUCAGCUGUUCCUUUACCUGAUGGGAAGCGGCCACAAACCGGAUCCAGCCAUCAUCCAAGGAGACAACGAAUGCCCCUCUUUGAAGCUGCACAUUCACUUGGCCUCCUCCAAACAGGACUAGGGGGUACACAGACACCAUGCUGCAGUCUCGGAUAAACACCCGGCUAGUUUUGAUUUUCUCAUGGUACAACAGGUAGGGGCUGUCGAAGUGUCUGACCUGUAACACAAAACCUCGGAUGACAAUGAAGCUGAUGGCCACAUAAGGGGUUUUCCCACCAAUCCCAUGUACUUCAGAGCUGCCCAUCCAUUAAAGACUUGCAGUUA